UGGGGAAUAUUGGACAAUGGGCGAAGGCCUGAUCCAGCCAUGCCGCGUGUGUGAAGAAGGUCUUCGGAUUGUAAAGCACUUUAAGUUGGGAGGAAGGGCAGUUACCUAAUACGUGAUUGUUUUGACGUUACCGACAGAAUAAGCACCGGCUAACUCUGUGCCAGCAGCCGCGGUAAUACAGAGGGUGCAAGCGUUAAUCGGAAUUACUGGGCGUAAAGCGCGCGUAGGUGGUUAGUUAAGUUGGAUGUGAAAUCCCCGGGCUCAACCUGGGAACUGCAUUCAAAACUGACUGACUAGAGUAUGGUAGAGGGUGGUGGAAUUUCCUGUGUAGCGGUGAAAUGCGUAGAUAUAGGAAGGAACACCAGUGGCGAAGGCGACCACCUGGACUGAUACUGACACUGAGGUGCGAAGGCGUGGGGAGCAAACAGGAUUAGAUACCCCAGUAGUCCCUGAGCGGGCUGGCAAGGCGCAU
rnacentral:rRNA from 1 species